rnacentral:lncRNA from 1 species
AAAAACAUCUCUCCCACCUUUCGGACCCAACCCACCAAUAUUCUCCGUUUAGUACAUCAAUCCACCACCGAGUAAUGCAGUUCGUGCUAUACACGAUAGAUCUAACAAAAAUAAAAGUAAAAAAAACAGGUGCCUCUAAUACAAAACGACUAAACUUAGAAGGAUGAAAUGACAAAUAAUAAACUGAUAAAUCACUGUGAUUACUAUUAGCAAUCAGCAAGUCCUUGGUCGAGGAGGAGAUGCCAUUUGUGUCCACAGCUACUACUUCCGGUACCACUCGAUCACUGUUCCAACCACAACAAAAUCCCCCUUCCUCACUCCGAUCACUACUCACGUGCCUCCCAGGUCUUUGACCGUUUAGUCACUUGCUUCCACCCCCUCCGGCGAGUUAACCAUGGCGUCGACGAACUCAGUCCGAGU